rnacentral:rRNA from 1 species
GUGGUUAAGUUACUAAGGGCACACGGUGGAUGCCUUGGCGCUAGGAGCCGAAGAAGGACGCAGCGAACUGCGAUAAGCCUCGGGGAGCGGUAAGCACGCUUUGAUCCGGGGAUCUCCGAAUGGGGUAACCCACCAUCUGUAAUGGGAUGGUAUCCUUCACUGAAUACAUAGGUGAUGAGAAGGCAGACCCGGUGAACUGAAACAUCUAAGUAGCCGGAGGAAGAGAAAACAAUAGUGAUUCCGUCAGUAGUGGCGAGCGAACGCGGAAGAGCCUAAACCGUCGGGUUUACCCGGCGGGGUUGUGGGGCGUCUCACAUGGAGUUACAAAAGACGCGCGUAGGUGAACAGCUUGGGAAAGCUGACCAUAGAGCGUGAUAGUCGCGUAACCUAAACGCGCGUCUCUCCGAGACCAACCCCGAGUAGCGCGGGACACGUGAAAUCCCGUGUGAAUCUGGCAGGACCAUCUGCUAAGGCUAAAUACUACCUAGCGACCGAUAGUGAACCAGUACCGUGAGGGAAAGGUGAAAAGCACCCCGGGAGGGGAGUGAAAUAGUACCUGAAACCGUGUGCUUACAAAUAGUCGGAGCCCGUUAAAAGGGUGACGGCGUGCCUUUUGUAGAAUGAACCGGCGAGUUACGGUAGCGUGCGAGGUUAAGUUGAAGAGACGGAGCCGCAGCGAAAGCGAGUCUGAAUAGGGCGAUAGUACGCUGCCGUAGACCCGAAACCGUGUGAUCUAGCCAUGUCCAGGGUGAAGGUAGGGUAACACCUACUGGAGGCCCGAACCCACGCACGUUGAAAAGUGCGGGGAUGAGGUGUGGCUAGCGGUGAAAUUCCAAUCGAACUCGGAGAUAGCUGGUUCUCCCCGAAAUAGCUUUAGGGCUAGCCUCGGAAUUUAGAGUCUUGGAGGUAGAGCACUGAUUGGACUAGGGGCCCUCAUCGGGUUACCGAAUUCAGUCAAACUCCGAAUGCCAAUGACUUAUGUCCGGGAGUCAGACGGUGAGUGCUAAGAUCCAUCGUCAAAAGGGAAACAGCCCAGACCAUCAGCUAAGGUCCCCAAGUAUACGUUAAGUGGGAAACGAUGUGGAGUUGCCCAGACAACCAGGAUGUUGGCUUAGAAGCAGCCACCAUUUAAAGAGUGCGUAAUAGCUCACUGGUCGAGUGACUCUGCGCGGAAAAUGUAACGGGGCUAAACGUAUCACCGAAGCUAUGGCAGUCCUUACGGACUGGGUAGGGGAGCGUUCCAAGCAGCAGUGAAGCCGUACUGGAAAGAGCGGUGGAGCGCUUGGAAGUGAGAAUGCCGGUGUAAGUAGCGAAAAGACAAGUGAGAAUCUUGUCCACCGAAAGCCUAAGGUUUCCUGGGGAAGGCUCGUCCUCCCAGGGUUAGUCGGGACCUAAGCUGAGGCCGAAAGGCGUAGGCGAUGGACAACAGGUUGAUAUUCCUGUACCACCUCUGUUCCGCUUGAGCAAUGGCGUGACGCAGGAGGAUAGGGUGAGCGGCCUACUGGAUGGCCGUCCAAGCAGU